CCUACGGGCGGCUGCAGUCGGGAAUAUUGCUCAAUGGGGGAAACCCUGAAGCAGCAACGCCGCGUGGAGGAUGAAGGUUUUCGGAUUGUAAACUCCUUUUGUUAGAGAAGAUAAUGACGGUAUCUAACGAAUAAGCACCGGCUAACUCCGUGCCAGCAGCCGCGGUAAUACGGAGGGUGCAAGCGUUACGCGGAAUCACUGGGCGUAAAGAGCGCGUAGGCGGGAUAGCAAGUCAGGUGUGAAUUCCUAUGGCUUAACCAUAGAACUGCAUUUGACACUGUGCUGCUAGAGUAUGGGAGAGGUAGGUGGAAUUAUAGGAGUAGGGGGAAAAACCGUAGAGAUGAAGAGGAACACUAGUGGCGAAGGCG
rnacentral:rRNA from 1 species